GAUGAACGCUGGCGGCGUGCCUAAUACAUGCAAGUCGAGCGAAUGGAUUAAGAGCUUGCUCUUAUGGAGUUAGCGGCGGACGGGUGAGUAACACGUGGGUAACCUGCCCAUAAGACUGGGAUAACUCCGGGAAACCGGGGCUAAUACCGGAUAACAUUUUGAACCGCAUGGUUCGAAAUUGAAAGGCGGCUUCGGCUGUCACUUAUGGAUGGACCCGCGUCGCAUUAGCUAGUUGGUGAGGUAACGGCUCACCAAGGCAACGAUGCGUAGCCGACCUGAGAGGGUGAGCGGCCACACUGGGACUGAGACACGGCCCAGACUCCUACGGGAGGCAGCAGUAGGGAAUCUUCCGCAAUGGACGAAAGUCUGACGGAGCAACGCCGCGUGAGUGAUGAAGGCUUUCGGGUCGUAAAACUCUGUUGUUAGGGAAGAACAGGUGCUAGUUGAAUAAGCUGGCACCUUGACGGUACCUAACCAGAAAGCCACGGCUAACUACGUGCCAGCCGCCGCAGUAA
rnacentral:rRNA from 1 species